rnacentral:rRNA from 1 species
GACGAACGCUGGCGGCGUGCCCAACACAUGCAAGUCGAACGGAAAACAUAGCAAUAUGUUUUUAGUGGCGAACGGGUGAGUAACGCGUAGACAACCAACCUUUUUGUGGGGGACAACACUUCGAAAGGAGUGCUAAUACCGCAUACGCUCCAGAGAUCGCCUGGUUUUUGGAGGAAAGGAGCUUUACGGCUUCGCAGAAAGACGGGUCUGCGUCUGAUUAGCUAGUUGGAGGGGUAACGGCCCACCAAGGCGACGAGCAGUAGCCGGUCUGAGAGGAUGGACGGCCACACUGGGACUGAGACACGGCCCAGACUCCUACGGGAGGCAGCAGUGGGGAAUCUUCCGCAAUGGACGAAAGUCUGACGGAGCGACGCCGCGUGAGUGACGAAGGCCCUCGGGUCGUAAAGCUCUGUCGUCGGGGACGAACGGUCACAUCAGGAAAUGGGUGUGAAGUGACGGUACCCGAGAAGGAAGCCACGGCUAACUACGUGCCAGCCGCCGCGGUAACAC